rnacentral:rRNA from 1 species
CACCGGCGGCUCGAGUGGUGGCCCCUUUUAUUGGGUCUAAAGCGUCCGUAGCCGGCUUGGCAAGUCCCCUGGGAAAUCUGGCGGCUUAACCGUCAGGCGUCCAGAGGAUACUGCCAGGCUUGGGACCGGGAGAGGUGAGAGGUACCUCAGGGGUAGGGGUGAAAUCUUGUGAUCCCUGAGGGACCACCAGUGGCGAAGGCGUCUCACUAGAACGAGUCCGACGGUCAGGGACGAAAGCUGGGGGCACGAACCGG